AUUGAACGCUGGCGGCAGGCCUAACACAUGCAAGUCGAACGAGUGGCGGACGGGUGAGUAAUGUCUGGGAAACUGCCUGAUGGAGGGGGAUAACUACUGGAAACGGUAGCUAAUACCGCAUACCAUCAGAUGUGCCCAGAUGGGAUUAGCUAGUUGGUGGGGUAACGGCUCACCAAGGCGACGAUCCCUAGCUGGUCUGAGAGGAUGACCAGCCACACUGGAACGUAGAAACGGUCCAGAAUCCUACGGGAGGAAGCAGUGGGGAAUAUUGCACAAUGGGCGAAAGCCUGAUCCAGCCAUGCCGCGUGUGUGAAGAAGGUCUUCGGAUUGUAAAGCACGUUAAGCGGGGAGGCGUUACCAACAGAAGAAGCACCGGCUAACUGCGUGCCAGCAGCCGCGGUAAUUC
rnacentral:rRNA from 1 species